CAAGGAAUUUUCGUCAAUGGGCGCAAGCCUGAACGAGCAACGCCGCGUGGUGGAUGACGGCCUUCGGGUUGUAAACACCUUUUGGAGGGGACGAUAAUGACGGUACCCUCCCAACAAGCCCCGGCUAACUCUGUGCCAGCAGCCGCGGUAGGACAGAGGGGGCAAGCGUUGUCCGGAAUUACUGGGCGUACAGGGCACGCAGGUGGCCGUACAGGUGGCGUGUGAAAGCCCCGCGCUUAACGCGGGGAGUGCAGGCCAAACGGUACGGCUCGAGCGAUGCAGAGGGUGGGGGAAUUGCCGGUGUAGUGGUGAAAUGCGUAGAGAUCGGCAGGAACACCAAAGACGAAGGUACCCACCUGGGCAUCAGCUGACACUCAGGUGCGACAGCGUGGGGAGCGAACCGGAUUAGAUACCCGGGUAGUCCACGCCGUAAACGAUGGAUGCUCGGCGUCUGGGGGGGUAAGGCUCCCUGGGCGCCCAAGCUGACGCGCAAGCAUCCCGCCUGGGAACUACGAGCGCAAGCUUAC
rnacentral:rRNA from 1 species